rnacentral:miRNA from 1 species
GAGCCAGCCAUGGAGAGCAAGCCAGUAAGCAGAGUGCCUCUGCCCAUAGACUCUGCAUCUGCUCCUGCCUCCA